UGGGGAUGACGUCAAGUCAGCAUGGCCCUUACUCCGGGGCUACACACGUGCUACAAUGGCCGGUACAAAGGGUUGCGAAGCCGUGAGGUGGAGCGAAUCUCAAAAAGCCGGCCUCAGUUCGGAUUGGAGGCUGCAACUCGCCUCCAUGAAGUCGGAAUCGCUAGUAACCGCAGAUCAGCUACGUUGCGGUGAAUACGUUCCCGGGCCUU
rnacentral:rRNA from 1 species